UUUAGAGAAGGAUAGAAAGCGUGCGAGAAAUAUUUCUCAUCGUGAGUCAAGAAACGAUAGAAAAGCUUCAAUAACACGCAUCUUCCACCGAGAAAGCGGUUGAUUUCCCCGCCAACGAGUCGGGUCCGCCUCGCAAGUACGGCCGUGCCGGCCGUGCGGCGUCUACGAGAUAACUUUACAGGUUCAAGUUGUCCAGUUCACAUGCAAGAUUUCCAGAUAUUGGCUGGGGGCUUGAUUCAUACUUUACUGUGUGGGACAUUUUUGGAGGAAAAUGUUGUGUAGCAAAGAAAACACCAGUGACACAUGAUAGGUUGUCAUCAGUAGAACAACUUUUAUUUUCUAGAAACAUAAUCCAUGCCUGUCAGUGUUUCAUUGCUGCUUCACUGAAUAAAGUUUCUUUCGUGGCA